UAGUCCACGCCGUAAACGAUGAUUACUCGCUGUAGGCGAUACACAGUCUGUGGCUAAGCGAAAGUUUUAAGUAAUCCACCUGGGGAGUACGAUCGCAAGAUUGAAACUCAAAGGAAUUGACGGGGGCCCGCACAAGCGGAGGAACAUGUGGUUUAAUUCGAUGAUACGCGAGGAACCUUACCUGGACUUAAAUGUAGAUUGCAUAGCUUAGAGAUAGGCUUUUCUUCGGACUAUUUACAAGGUGCUGCAUGGUUGUCGUCAGCUCGUGCCGUGAGGUGUCGGGUUAAGUCCCAUAACGAGCGCAACCCCUAUCCUUAGUUGCCAGCGGGUCAUGCCGGGGACUCUGAGGAGACUGCCACCGUAAGGUGUGAGGAAGGUGGGGAUGACGUCAAAUCAGCACGGCCCUACGUCCAGGGCUACACACGUGCUACAAUGGUGAGUACAGAUGGUUGCUACAUGGUGACAUGUUUGCUAAUCUAUAAAACUCAAUCUCAGUUCGGU
rnacentral:rRNA from 1 species